AUACUUACCUUAGGCAAAUUCCUGGCGAUCAAGUUGGCCAGGAUUUCGGACUAGAGGUUGGCAUUGCACAGCGCCGACGUUCUCGACUGCUGCCUACGGGCGGGGCCUAUAAUUUUUGUUUUUUUUCACAUGCCAUUGCUGGCUGUGGAGC
rnacentral:snRNA from 1 species